AAAAUACAAGCAGGCUGUAUAUGAUAAAUAUUAAUAUGAAUAUGAUGAUCAAGUUGAUGGUGAAGCAUAUGUUAGAUGCUUCAUUACUAAAAGUUUUGAAGACUUCGACAAUGGACCAGAAACUCGAUGAUCCAAAGUUCUUCUCGGACCUGUGGGUGGAAAGUUCUACCCCUGCUGGCCCAGCAAACUCGGGUUCCUGGUUAAUCAUGAGAGGACAAAAGUUGUAAAAGUAGAGGAUGAAGUUCCUCUUACACCAUGUACCCGCAAUACGAACUCCCUCUUACAUUCACCUGGACACCUUACAUUGACCAAGAGAGUCUGCUAGUAUAAAAGUUUCAUUUUUAUCUUUAUUUUAUUCACUUUGGUAAUCCGUGUGAGUGGAAGGAAGAACUUAGAGGUACAUUGUAGCAAACCUGGCAGACUACCGAUCAUCAAGGAUGAGUCAAUAUUUAAUCCUCGCCAACCAAACGUCAGCACUUCAUUAAACGACUGGAUUUUAAUCUUGCAGGUGUGUCUGUUGCAGUCUCUGGACCGUAAAGCUUGCGAUGGAAUCGGAAAUUAAUUAGCAUGAAAUCCUGUUAGUAUGUUUGAUGCUCCAUUAGCACUGGCCCUGACGCUUGCCUGCCAGAGACGGACACUGGCUCCGCUUCCCUCGCAGACAAUCUUGUUGAGAUAUUGCCACCACCGUUAUAUUGACAGUCGCUUCCCCUUCGGCCGUUUUCAUACAGGAUUAUGUCCCUUAUCUGUCUGCAUCGGAAGCGGCCAUCUUUGAGUUCCUGGGCCUGACGGCCAGGGAGCGAGGCCACAAGACGUUUUUCGUGCGCUGAUUGUUUCCGUUGAUGAAUGCAAACAUUAACAAAGCAAUAGGCUCAUCCCGUGCGAUAAAAGAUAAUCGUACGAGCUGACGACUACAGCCGAGGAAAGACCAGACUGACCUUUGGUUAAACUGCUCGAGGACGAAAAACUGUAAACAAGGGAGAAAACUUUUGAAAUAAACACAGAAGGAGUGUGACUAGAGUUGCAGAGGAACACGGUGGUCGUACAGGUCACGAAAGGUCAACGCGGCUGCCCAGACACUAAGCUGCAUUUGAAAGAUUUUCCAGACUCCGAUCAGGUGUCGUGUACAUUCUACGUCGCUGUCGUUGUUUGUGAGACGAUGUCGAGGACAGAGUAUAGAGAAGGACAGUAUGAAAUAAAAGUCAUGUCGAGGGUCAAU